GGUGCAGCUUUCCUGACGACUGUCGCCUCUGCCGGGAUGAUUGCAGGAUUUGGCUCAACGUUUGCAAGGAUCAGAUGGUGGCAGGUGUCCCAGCAGGGUCAGACAGCCAUGGAAGUACAGUCUACAGAGCUCCGGUGAAUUUUGUAGUAUAUUAUAACGAGUGAAGGGAUACAAAGUCACAUCUUGAGUUGAUGGCUAGGCUACAGUCUGGGAAUAAUGGUCAUUUCAGCAGGAUCAGAUGGUGACAGGGGUCUCAGCAGGGUCAGUCAACCAGGGAAGACUAGUGCGUGACAGCACUGAGGUGAACUUUUGCAGCUGCAACACUUUAUUCUCUCUUUGCAACAAACACUGGACAAGACAGAAGCUUCAAAGAUUGAAACUAUUUUAAGGCAGUCUGACAAACCUCUAUAAAGUAGAUUUCAAACUGUAUCAAGGGUUGAUAGAGGCUUUUCCCGAUGACACAAAACAUGUAUAACAAAUGUGAGAAAGACCUGGGAGACACUUGAUGAUGAAUGGAUACAUGUGUUUGAAUGCCCAGUCAUGUUCAUAUAAUCGCAGACAUACAUUUCUGCAGUUUAAGACCUUCCACAGAAUGUACUAUAUGCUAGUGAAACUGAAUAUCAUGCAGUCAGAAAUGUAAUUCCUCUGCUGGAGGUGUAAAACACAAAAGGGAACAUAUUUGCAUAUGUUGUGGUCUUGUGAAGGUUGACUGAAUUCUGUCAAAGAGUAUUUUAUGUCAGCAUGUCUACAUACUCUCCUUUCUCCAUGUUUUUGUUUGCUUGGAAAUGUUGAUACUGGAGACUUAACAGAAGAAACUGUGUAAUGUAGAAUUUACAGAAACUAAGAAAUCCAUUGCCAUUAAUUGGAAGGUUGGUUCUCCUCCCACAAUAUCACAAUGGAUGGCAGAAGAUUAAAAGUAUAUUGUGCAACUUUCAUAAGGUCUGCCUUAUAUGGAAUACUGUACAACAAAAGGAGUCUGUAUUGAAAACAUGCCCACGUCAAUGGAGAUGCCUAUUUAGGCGAUCCCUAGCUGCUGGGCUGCUCAGUCCUGGCCAUGGUGGUCUGCCUGGCCCUUGGUUGUCACUCUGGACUUGGCCUAACACCUGAAACCAAUAAUGAAUGUUUCACUAAGAUCCUAAAGCUGAGUGGGGUGUGUUGGGUUGGGGCGCUGCAGGGCGGUGGACCCCUAGGGACAGAACAGGUAUAUUAUGUGAAAGUUAAAAGAGCUCUACAAUACUGUUAGGCCCAUGAUAUGAAUUACAGUGCCCUCUGAAAUUAUUGGGACAGUGAAGCAUUUUUUCUUAUUUUGGCUCUAUACUCAAAGUUUGGAUUUGAAAUCAAACAAUG